rnacentral:lncRNA from 10 species
CCCGCCCCCGCCCCCGCCCCCGCCCCGCAGGGCCCCCAGGCCGGGCGCUGGGGGCGCACAGGCAUACAGAUUCUCUCUCCUCACCACGCGGCUGCUGCUGGAGGAUGGAGGAGGGGUGGUGUCAGCAAUUCAAGACUGUCUUUCCUACCCUCUUCAGUGCCCUUCCUUGAUAAGCUGUUUAAACCAGGUAUGUAAGGUUCAUGUGGAUAAGGGCUUUGUCUUGUUCAGCAACGUGUCCAUUGCCCUGGAACAGUGCCUACUACCUAGCAGCCAUUCAGAAAGAAGAACUAGGUCUGGCAGUAGAUCAGAAUCUACCUGUUGGGGAAAACCAGAAAUAGGAAGAAGAGUUAUUAAUGGUUCAUUCUUGGCUGAGAAGAAUUCAGUAUGGAAUAAUUAAGGACUGACUUUAAGAGAAUCUACUUGUCACUGGAUUUAGGGUACACCUGGAUAAUCCAAGAUGAUCUCACCUGAAAAUUUUUAAUUACAUCUGCAAAGACCUUUUCUUCAAAUAAAGUAAUAUUCACAGGGUCUGGGGAUUGGGAUAUGGAUGUGUCUUUUCAGGAGCCACCAUUUAACCCACUAAAUUCAUUAUAUGCUGUUUAAUGCUGUAUCUUCCUUUUGGAUUGAAGAGAUAUGCUUCUGUUUGAAGAUGGGCAAGUGGGCUAGGGAAUUUUUGGCUAGUAGGUAGAAAGGAACUUUAAAAAUAUUUCUGGUUGGUGCUGUUUAGUAAGUGCUUGUUAAACUUUCAGAGGUCAAAUAUCUUGAACACAAAUUGGAGAAGGAGUAAAUCAGUAUAAAGUGAA